CUCGACCAUUUCCUCUAUCGUUGGACAACAGUCGACUGCGAGGCCAUCUUCGCCUCCCUCCUGGCGUAGAACCAUCUGCAUCUCUCGGCUCCAUGACUACGAUGAGCAACCGUGAUAAUAGGAGAAGGGCGUCCAUUCGGCAAUAUCUCCUUUCGUGGCUAAAAACCUUUCUGGAUUCUCUAGAAGCAUACAUGUAAGAAGAAGAAAAAGAGCUAGAGUGGAGAGAGAGAGAGGGAGAGAGAGAGAUCGAACCUUAUGCAAAUGCAGCUGAGUACAAACGAUCCUGUGAAAUCUUUACAAGUAUGGCUUAACUUUAACUUUAACUUACCAUAAGGUAAGCGAACGACUACCGACGAUAAUGGGCGAAAGACAACGCGACUAACACAAAUGGCAAACCGCAAUGGAAAUUACCGGUUAACAUGUCAUUAUCUGCCAAUACCUUUUACGUUUAUCGCAGAUAAUACGUAUUCGCGAAUUAUUUCAACUUUUUUCUUUAAUAUACUUUAUAUGUUCAAAUUUACUUUAAUCGAUAUUUGAAUAUUUUUUUUUUAUUAUUAUUAGGUUAAAUUUGAUCAAACUUUGUAUUAUCCGUAACAAAUUUCGUUAGAUAUUAUUUGUCAUACGUUCUUGAAUCAAGAAGAAAAAUAAGAAGAAACGUCAAACACGACAAAACGAUUCCGAGAUUCGUUUAUACAGCUAUCAUCAAGGAUCGCGGAGAGUUCGCGUGGGUAGAGACACGAUAGAUGGGUUAGGAUAUACUCGUACACUACGGUGCUUUUGAAAUCGAUAUAGUGGCAAAGCUUUGCUAGAAAAUAUGGAAUAAAUCAUGGAAACGGAAUACGUCGUUGAAGGUAAACACGAAUGGUAAGAUUCUUAUCGACUAUCGUAGAUCUUUCUCGUCGAUCCAUUUAUAUAUAUAUAUACGAAUUGAAAAUUUUCGUACGUUCGUAGGGAAUAAUCGUGAAAGAUCUAGUGGUAUCGUUUCGCGACUAGUUUCGGUAUCGGAAUGCAAUAUCGCUCCUACGAUCUCUCUCAUCUCGAAAAACGGGAUCACAUUUUACAGCUGCUGCGCUACAUCCUGCUGGUGCUGUUGCACGUUUGCCUAUUAGGUUCGGUUCGGUUCUUCAACCACGCAGAAAAGAAGAAUUUUCCAGGAAACGCGUGGAUGAUUUAAAGAGCAAUUGUCGAUCGUCGGAUGGGACAAUUUCUCGGGAAUUAUCGUCUCGUAAGUUUGUACCAGAAAGGAUGCGGAAAAACAGGUCGGAUUCGAUCGUUCGAAAUCGCGUUAAGGAGAUUAUUUAUUGGAAAAUAUUGGUGCCGAGAGAACGAUUAGCAUGCUAAUGCCGUUCUACCGUUCACCUUAUUCGCUCGUUCAUAGGUGCAACUUGGUAGAUACCUACAUAUAUAUAUAUAUAGCAGCCACGGGUGUCAGCUAAUCUGCCAUUAUUAAAUUAUCCAUGCGCGCACCAUCGAGACGACGAUGAUCGUCGUUUAUCAAUAUCGUUUGCUAUACGCAAAUGCGUCCCCGGCUACUAAUACUACCGAUCUUUUACAUCUAUACGUUAGCAUUUAAUAUAACAUAGAUAACAUCAAGUACCUUAUACGAGUGACGAUAAGGAUACCUGUUCAUUUUUUAUACUAAGAUCGCCAACAGUGUGAAUCUCGCAUAUACUUCUUUAUACAGGAUCUCUUUUUUUCCUUACGUUUAAUUCCAUACGUCCCAACAUAGAAUUUUUUCCCAAUUUACUCGAUGAUAAAUCGAAAUAGAUAGAUUUAGAUCGGUAUCGAUAUUGUUUCUAAACAAACCGUUAGUUUAAGCUACUUUCUUUCCUGAUUUGUAAGACGUUCAUUUUGCAAAUUGUAAUCCGUACUUUCUCGAUCAGCGAUCAAUUCUCCUUUUUUGAGAUUACAAUAGACAUUUCUAUUGUUCGUUCCGUUUGAUCAAAAUCAAGGUCUAGUUCGUUGUUUCGUAUUGGAGUUUAUUCGAAAGACGACAAAAAUCGGUUUAAGAUUAGAAAACUUGAAAACAAAAGGAUAUAAUAAAAAUAAAUAUUUCUUUAACAUCGUGCCUCCGUAAUUGUUAAGUCUUGCAUCCAAAGUAUUAAAUUUAUGUACUUGCGAGUACACAUCCUUGAGCUACUACGACCUGGAUGCUUGAGAAAGAUCAAAGCUACAUUAUCUCGAGAGAAGUUUCGUGGGGAAAAUAUUUUGAGUUGGAGAGAAACUCGUGGCAGGUGUCUCAUACGAGAUUACUACGAGGUGCUCGUCGGGAGUCGGAGCUAACUAACUUCAAAAAGUCGACUUUGAGAAAAUGUGAUGAGGACGACACCCAACCGCGUGGAGAGGAAAGAUAUAAAGAAAGAAAAAUCGUAUACGCGAGCUCUAGUGAAAGAGAAGAUAAAAAAGAAAAAUAAAAUGAAAGAGAAAGAGGACCAAAGAUAGUCGUCGUAUCGAAACCAUAAUUUCGAAAGUUUAUCGGUGCGUUCAUGACAGGGACCAAAAGGUUCAUCGUGUGUUUGCUGCGCGCGUGUAUUCGUAUGAAGAAAGAAACUAUAUAAGCUCUUGAAAAGUAAGCACUUAUAGUUCUAUUCAUGUAAAUUCGUUUAAAACGUUUGCAACCCUGACGCAACGCAAUUCAAUACAACGCAACGUAACGCAACGCCGGCGAGAAGUAAUCGUGUAAGACAGCUCGAUAAUAUGCUAAUAAUACUCUCAACGGGCGGUAAUUUAUGCUCAUUAUAUCCGGCCUGGAUAUUGUAAUUAUUGUUUCGUUCAAUGUGCUUACCUGUUAGGUAUAUCCUAUACAAUAGUCACGUUAAGGGGCGUGCACGAGGCGUUUAUUGUUUCAUUAAAACACCGACGUAACCUACUCGAUUUACAGAAGUGAUAGGGAUAGAUAAUAAUAGAAGAUUGCUUGCGGCCACCACCGAUUACUUUUAAUAAUUAAUUUACGCGAUAUUAAAUAUAUCAUUUUGUUUAAAUAACGGUCUAGAUAUAUAUAUCACGAAAUGAUUUGUAAACGUGAUUAGAAGCCUCGUUGGAAUUCGUUCCAUUUCUAUAUAUAAUUCUCAAUAACUCGAGAAAUAUUUUAUCGUUAAUACGAUCGAUAUAGAUAAAAAGAUAAUGAGAAAGAAAAGAAAAAAUAAUCAUAAUAAUAAAGUAGAGACUUCUUACCGCGACGAGGGCGCUGAGAGCUUCAAUUCGCAUAGUAGCUGGCCAGGCCAGCGGGGAGGCCGUAGGUUCCAAGCUGUUGGAUCGAAUUCACGUAUCGAUCCUCGAUUGUUAUUAUCAAAUUGUGAUCUUGUUUUUCUUGCGAUUUCACUCGGUUAGAAAUACGAUGAUGCCCGGCGGCCGAUAAUCCGUUUCUCCUGGCUCCUCCACUUCGAUUUCUUGUGGUCCGCCGUUUGGUUGAUUGGGUGACAUGGCUACCACCACCGCACCACCGAUCUAAAAAAAAAAACAAUCUUUUUUAUCUUACGUAAGGUGAACAAAUAAACGAUGAUAACGAUA